GCGGAAGGAUCAUUAUUGAAAUUAUAGGUGAGGGUUGUAGCUGGCCUCUCGGGGCAUGUGCACGCCCGAGCCCUUAAUCCACACACACCUGUGAACCUAUUGUAAGGGCCCGUAAAAAAGGCCUUUACGUCUUAUCACCAACCCAUCGUAUGUCUCAUAGAAUGUAAAUAUAUGUCCUCGCCUUAAAAAGCGUUGAUAAACUUAUACAACUUUCAACAACGGAUCUCUUGGCUCUCGCAUCGAUGAAGAACGCAGCGAAAUGCGAUAAGUAAUGUGAAUUGCAGAUAUUCAGUGAAUCAUCGAAUCUUUGAACGCACCUUGCGCUCCUUGGUAUUCCGAGGAGCAUGCCUGUUUGAGUGUCAUUAAAUUCUCAAACUCCGAUCGAUUUGUUUCGACUUCGGGGCUUGGAUUUGGAGCGUGCUGGCGUCGGUCGGCUCCUCUUAAACGCAUCAGCGGAAUCUAACGUUCCGGACGUCAGUGUGAUAAUCACGUUGCGCUGUCUUUCGGUCCGAAAAGCCCGCUCACAAUGGUCUUCGGACAACUUCAUAUCAAAUUUGACCUCAAAUCAGGUAGGACUACCCGCUGAACUUAAGCAUA
rnacentral:sRNA from 1 species